rnacentral:rRNA from 1 species
UACGGAGGGUGCAAGCGUUAUCCGGAUUUACUGGGUUUAAAGGGUGUGUAGGCGGGCUUUUAAGUCAGUGGUGCAAUCUCCGGGCUCAACCUGGAAACUGCCAUUGAUACUAUUAGUCUUGAAUUUUGUUGAGGUAGGCGGAAUAAGUCAUGUAGCGGUGAAAUGCAUAGAUAUGACUUAGAACACCAAUUGCGAAGGCAGCUUGCUAAACAAAUAUUGACGCUGAGGCACGAAAGCGUGGGGAUCAAACAGG